GGGAUUAGUGGCGAACGGGUGAGUAACACGUGGGCAAUCUGCCCUGCACUCUGGGACAAGCCCUGGAAACGGGGUCUAAUACCGGAUACGACACUCUCGGGCAUCCGAUGAGUGUGGAAAGCUCCGGCGGUGCAGGAUGAGCCCGCGGCCUAUCAGCUUGUUGGUGAGGUAAUGGCUCACCAAGGCGACGACGGGUAGCCGGCCUGAGAGGGCGACCGGCCACACUGGGACUGAGACACGGCCCAGACUCCUACGGGAGGCAGCAGUGGGGAAUAUUGCACAAUGGGCGAAAGCCUGAUGCAGCGACGCCGCGUGAGGGAUGACGGCCUUCGGGUUGUAAACCUCUUUCAGCAGGGAAGAAGCGAAAGUGACGGUACCUGCAGAAGAAGCGCCGGCUAACUACGUGCCAGCAGCCGCGGUAAUACGUAGGGCGCAAGCGUUGUCCGGAAUUAUUGGGCGUAAAGAGCUCGUAGGCGGCUUGUCACGUCGGUUGUGAAAGCCCGGGGCUUAACCCCGGGUCUGCAGUCGAUACGGGCAGGCUAGAGUUCGGUAGGGGAGAUCGGAAUUCCUGGUGUAGCGGUGAAAUGCGCAGAUAUCAGGAGGAACACCGGUGGCGAAGGCGGAUCUCUGGGCCGAUACUGACGCUGAGGAGCGAAAGCGUGGGGAGCGAACAGGAUUAGAUACCCUGGUAGUCCACGCCGUACACGGUGGGCACUAGGUGUGGGCGACAUUCCACGUCGUCCGUGCCGCAGCUAACGCAUUAAGUG
rnacentral:rRNA from 1 species